GGGUGCGAUCAUACCAGCACUAAUGCACCGGAUCCCAUCAGAACUCCGAAGUUAAACGUGCUUGGGCGAGAGUAGUACUAAGAUGGGUGACCUCUUGGGAAGUCCUCGUGUUGCACCCCUCC
rnacentral:rRNA from 1 species